rnacentral:rRNA from 1 species
GAAGAGAGAGUUAAAUAGUACGUGAAAUGAGAGAGGUGGAGACGGAGAGAGUUGAUGUAUGUGUCAUGCUGUCAGCCGUUGCGUAUAGCGCUCGUACGGUGUGCCGCGCGCGAUCCGUGGAUCGUUGUGGGAGUAGUGCCAUAAUAGUCAGGAGUCGUGCGUAUCGGUGCACUUGCAUGUCGUGUGCGCCGGAGCGCAUGCGUUGGUCGUUCGGCCCUGGGGUAAGAGGAUGCGCGCUUCGGCGUGUAAAACCGGACCCUUGUUUUAUAUAGUGUGCCGGGCGGUUCGGCGUAUGCGCGCGCGCAUAUGUGAAUGUGGGGCGUUUUUUAGGCGUUGGCGGGUAUCAUUCGUCUCUAGGGGCGCAUGGCGGUCGCUUGCGACACGUGUGCGUCUCGGUUUCGAUGGUUGGCGCGCGCUCCCUCUCUGUGUCUUGUUCACUCCGGUGUAAAAGUCGAUCAUCUAUCCGACCCGUCUUGAAACACGGCCCAAGGAGUUUAACGUAUCCGCGAGUCAAUGGGCAUUUAAAACCCAAAGGCGUAAUGAAAGUGAAAGUGCUCUUUUGAAGUGAUUGAUAUGCGAUCCGCGGCACCACGGUGCUGCCGGCGCAGCAUAGCCCCGUUCCCGUCGCUUGCGAUGGAGCGGAGGAAGAGCGUAUGCGUUGAGACCCGAAAGAUGGUGAACUAUGCCUGAGCAGGACGAAGUCAGAGGAAACUCUGAUGGAGAGUCCGUAAUCGAUUCUGACGUGCAAAUCGGAUCGUCGUGACUGGUAUA